AUCCCUGUGACCCGCAUGUUGGAAGAAGAAACUCAACUUUCACAAAUUGAUCUCUGCCCUGCGCAUUGCUGUCACAUGCAUGCACACACUACACAGACACACAGACACACAGACACACAGACACACACACACACACAAAAUAAGUAAUUGUACUAUUACUACUAAAAAACAUUAGGUGGCUGGAGAGAUGGCUCAGUGGUUAAGAGAAUUCACUGCUCUUCCAGAGGUCCUGGGUUCAUUUCCCAGCACCCACAUGGUGCCUCAAAACUGCAACUCCAGUUCUAGGAGACCGACAACCUCACACAGACAGUCGUGCAGGCAAAACAUUAAUGUACAUAAAAUGAAAAUAAAUAAAUUAUAAGAACGGAACAACCCCCAGACCCGGAACAUUAAAGUUUGAGGGUACACUGGCAGGAUGCCCCUUUUCACCAAGAACCCAGUUUUAUAUUCUAGAAGACAUGGGCCAGGAGGAUUCUGAAUUGAGUUCAAGGCCUGCCUGGGUAAACCUAGCGAGACCCUGUUUCUCAGAACCAAAACAAAAACCUAACGAGCUAAAGGAGGAGGUAAUGAAAUGUACCCAGGGGCUAAACACAUGCCCUGCAUAAAAAGUCCAGCACCAAAUAAACAAAACAAGCUCAGAUAAUCUCCCUGCCACCUGGAUGGGGCGCAGCACAGCAGACCCAGCUUUGCGAGUGUUUUAGUGGGAUUGAAUUGUACAGACACAUGGAUGGCUACAGGCGGGGAAACAGUUUACCAAAGGAGAGAAACAGAGAACUCCAGAGUCCACCAGACCCAGGCUGAGGCCCAGCUCCAAAAGGGACCAGUCCCACAGAUGGUCCCUGAACAAAUUGUCUGCCUGAUCCAGCAACUCACAAGCCUGAUCUCAGAGGACUGUGUUUCCGGGUGAGGCUGGGAUAACCCCACUUCGUUCGUGUGGAGGAAGACUAAGUCACAUUAGCGUUGGUAACAAAGAUGGGGCCGGCUUGGCCAGGGAGAUGCGUGGUUCACUUGUCUUCCCCAGCUGUCAUCUGACCUCAUCUUCACCAGCCCUCUCCCCCUCAACCCUAACCUCAGUUCACAAAGAGGACUCCCUCCCCAUGUUAGAAAACAAAACUAUUGCGUAUGUGGACGUACACAGGAGUGCAGGUACCCCCAGAAUCCAGAAGAGGGUAACUAACUCCCUGGAGCUGGAGUUACAGACAAUUGUGAGCAGCCCAAUAUGGUUGCUGGGUCAGACUUGGGUCCUCUGCAAGGGCCGCAGGUGCUCUCAACCGUGAGCCAUUUCUGCAGCCUCUGCCUUCUUCUUUCUUUCCUUCCUCCUUUUUCUGGUAGGACACUGGCAGUUGUUGGCUUUGUUUGUUCCUCCUGGCUGAAUUUUUCUUCAUCUAAACAGCAAACUUGACACUCUGAGUGAUGGCUUAAUUUUCUUACGAUUAGAGACAGAUGCGGUUUCUAGCGAGUGAAACAGCUGCUUUUCACAAACCUCUCCACACUCCGAGCUGACGCGCUCUUUGUGGGAGGCUGACACAGAACACACAUGAGUUUGGUUCUGUUAAUGAAGCUGUUGUGUAUAUGCAAAGACCCAGGUGUUGACCUCACCCGGCAGUUUGGAUCAAACUCAUUUUUAAGCUUGCCUUUCAUGCCGAAAUCAGGAAACUUCUAGCACCUUUAAAGCUUUUCCUAGAUUAAUUUUAAGUUGUAAUUACCUUCCCCGUGUUCGGGACAACUUGGGUUUACAAGAGCUUACUAUGAGGGCUUUUGGUUCAUGGUAGGCCAUUCCUCAUACUCCUGUCUUGGAUCUAAUAAAUAAAGGAGGACCCUAGUGUGUAGAUUUUUUUUUUCCUUCAGUAAUGGGGAUUGAAGCUAGAGGCUUCAAUAUGACAGGCAAGUGCUGUACCACUGAGCUACAUUCCCAAUCCUCUUUGAAAAAUAUUACAUUUGUUUAGGCUUUAUUUUACAAAAUGUAUAUGGGUAUUUUGUAUGCGUAUAUGUCUGUGGCACCGCAUGCAUGCCGGUGCCUGUGGAGGGCAGAGACCGUGUCAGAUCCUCUGUAUGCUUGUCUUCGUGUAGGUGCCCGAGGAGGCAAGAGGUGCUGGAUUUCCGGGGAGCAGGAGUUGCAGGUGGUUAUGAGGCAUUUGAUUGGAGUGCUGGGAACCCGACUCAGGUCUUCUGUGCGAGCACUAUGCUCUCUUAACCAGCAGCCAUCUUUCUAGCCCUCUGGGUGUAUCUCUGAGGUAGUGUUAUAGGUUUAACCAGACGGACGACCUGCUGUGACCGUGGGCAACCCUGUCACUCUGGGGGUCCAGGACUGAAUAAGGAGAAAGUGAACUGAGCUCUGUUCAUUGUUCUCUGCUUCCUCACUGUGGAUGCCCUGUGAUCAGCUGCCUGGAGCUCCCGCUGUCAUGCACCCCCCACCAUGAUCAACUGUACCCUUAAACUGGGAACUCAAAGAAACCCUUUCUGCCCCAAGCUUCUCUUGUUGGGUGGUUUAUCCCAGUAACAAGACAGGUAACUGAUCACAGGCUAUAAGGGCUCAUCUUCCUAGUGCCCAGCAUGGCUCCUGCCCCUUCACGGACCGUCCCUAACCUUUCCAGGCUUCUCCAAGCUACUAUGUCAUCCCUCUUUCUCCCAGUGAUGACUUGACAUUCUGAGGAGAAAAUCACCUGUGAUCACAGCCCUGACCCCAUUCUGUUUGCCAUCACUGGCUCCUCAGUAGGCAGUGCAGGGCUUUGCACAGUUGGGGUAGAGGUCUGCCAACCAAUCGGCCAGCCAGCCGACCAGUCACCCAACCAGCCAACCACCCAACCAGCCAGCCAGCCAGCCAGCCAGCCAGCCAACCAGCUGAACCCAGAGAAAAAUCCAGAAUAAAAUGGAGGAGGAAGAGGAGGAGAAGGGUGAGGAAGAAGAGGAGGAAGAGGAGAGGAGGAAGAGGAGGAGGAGGAAGAGGAGGGGAAGAGAGGGAAGGGGGAGGGGGAGGGGGAGGGGGAGGGGGGAGGGACGGAAGCAGCAGCAGCAGUUGCCAGUAGUAAACCCGGCCACUCCUGUCUCACUUUCCCAAGUGCUGAGAUCAGAGGCAUGCAUCACUCCCGCUGGCCUUUCUUCUGGGAACACAAUUAAAGGCGACUGUCUGUUUCUCUCCCUUUUUGUUAAUGUUUUGCUUCUCAUUAUAUUUAUUUUGAUUUUGCAAUCAAGUGAUACUGGUUUUUCUCUUGCAGUAGUUUUAAAAUGAAUAUAAGUAAGAUUAUGAAUCCAUUUUCACUUUUUAUUUAUUUAUUUAUUUAAAAAAUACUUUUCUUUUUUUUUUUUUUUUUUUUUUUGGUUCUUUUUUUUCCGGAGCUGGGGACCGAACCCAGGGCCUUGCGCUUUCUAGGUAAGCGCUCUACCACUGAGCUAAAUCCCCAGCCCCUACUUUUCUUUUUUUUUAAAUUUAUUUAUUUAAUGUAUAUGAGUACACUGUUGCUGUCUUCAGACACACCAGAAGAGGGCAUUGGAUCUCAUUAUAGAUGAUUGUGAGCCACCAUGUGGUUGCUGGGAAUUGAACUCAGGACCUCUGGAAGAGCAGUUGGUGCUCUUAACCGCUGAGCCAUCUCUCCAGCCCACUUUAUUGUAUUUAUUUGCACGUACGUAUGCAUGUGUAUGUGUGCACACGAGCCACGGUUAGAGGAUAGAGCCCAAAGGGAACUCGGGGGAAUUCUCUUCUUCUGCCUGGUAGGUUCUGGUGAUUGAACUCAGGUGGUCAGAGUUGGCAGCAAGCACCUUUAUCCCAUGAGCCCCACAGACUUAAAAUGACAGUUCAGAAGUGUAGUUGGAACUGCUGGUACGCUGCCGGUUCAGGAAGGCAGGCUGAGGUGGCGAGAGGUGUACCGAAUGUGGUUGAAUCUUGAAGAUCUUCUACAAACAUUAACAUUUAGAAAACUGUUUUAAGAGGUGACAGGUAGCCCGAGGGGACAGCUGUGUGUCCUUUGAAAUAGCAACGCUUUUGCAGUCUGUAAGGGGACAGCACAGGCAGUUGCAGGAGCUAUAACAUCUGCUUGCUUCCCCUUGGGGACAAAGUCAGAGAAACAUUGUGGAAUUCUUGAAGGUACCAGAUGCUUGUUCUUCAGGGAACAAUCUUGCCCCUGGAGGCUACCCUGCUGGCAGAGAAGAGGCCAGGGCAGGUCACCUGCACCCACCCACCCACCACAGACCUCUCUGCAGAGCAGAGGUCAGGUUGGUUAGAGGAUAAACCGUCCAGCUGUGACAGAUUUAAUUUAGAAACAGUAUCACCCCGGACCCGUCCUCUGGGUUGGGAGGCCCCCAUCAAAGCCAAGACGUGCUAGAUUCUGCAGGGGGCUCUGUGCCCUGGGUGUCUUGACUGGGGCCUGGAGGCAGGAGGAGGUCACAGCUUUGUGGCAGUUUGAAAAAGAACAGAAAAUUGCUUUUCUGAGAAAGGACAGCAAGAUCAGCAGUGUCCCCAUCAGCUCAAAUUGGUUUGAAGUGUUAGUUUAUGCUUCUUACUUUCCUUUGAGGCAAUUUUCCAAAUGAGCAUCUUGGUGACUGGCUGCCAGGAAAUCAACUUCCUUUUUGUUUACCCGAACCAGCAGUUUCCUGGAAACAGACUGUCUGGGUCGCAGGGAAGAGUUUCUGCAGCCCCAUGACCUGUCAGUUUGGGUUCCUUGAGUGUGUCUUUCUCUGUCACAGCUUCCUCUGUCACUGUCACUGCAGGCAGGGCCGAUGACCUUCAAUUCAUAUGCUGUGUGGAGACUCUAACUCGUUUGGGCAGAGGACCACAUAAGGACAUUGGAAGAAGGAAGAUUCACUCUUCUUCCCCGGCUUACAUUUACUUGCUGGGACAUCUGUUGGAUCUACUAACCUCGUGGGACUGAGCAACUGCUAGAUCCUUGGACUUCCCAUUCACAGCUGACCAUUGUUGGGCAGUUGGACUACAGACUGAAGCUAGAGGAGGUUGGAGACACAGGGAAGAGUGGCCUCAUUGAGUGUCGAAACCAAGCUGGGCAAGGCGCCAAGGAAGACUGGCAGAGGGGCGAUGCGAAGAUGCCGUGAGUUGAGCUGGUACUCACAGAUGGGCUUGGUGGCUCUUUAUUUCCUGAGGAAAAUGCUCAGCUCACUCCCAGGGUGGUCAUACACAGUGUUGCCAUGUCUGGCUGAGACCUUGAAGACCCUACAGUGAUGAGUUAGAAAGUUCCAGGUCACAGACAAGGCAGCGGGAAUUUGGAGUGACUGGUCAGGCCAUGCCCAUAGUCAGGAGCUAGGAGAAUGGAUGUGUGUCCUAGCACUCGGCUUCCUCUGCUCUUACAGGGUCCAGAACCCAAACCCAGGGACUUGUGCUACCCACAAGAGCGGCCGAUAUAAAGGGUGUUAAGCUGGCUUAAUUGGGGUGCCAUCGUAACAGAUGACCUGGAUUUUAUCCAAACCCCCAUCUUUCCAGCAGAGUCGACCUGAAUAAUCUUUGUCAACAUGGUGCCUCAGGCUCCGGCUGAUUGAAAAGGAAAUGCCAGUAGUCCAAGCUGGAUCUUAUGGACUCCUAUCCUCAAGGGAGGUUCCCUUCUCUCAGAUGAGUAUACAUUGUGUCAAGUUGAUUUAAAACUAGCCACAUAGUAACCCACACUACACUUCUCACGGAUGGGCUGAAACAUACUUUAUACAAGUUGCUGGGCCAUGAGGCAUGCUCCUGAAGUUAGUAUUUUCCCAGACAGAAAUCGAUGGAACGCAGGACAUGUUUGAUGACCACAGAAGGACUCCAGAGAUGAUACGAGCUUCCUGCUCCAUAUCGCCAGCCAUGAGGAAGACCCAAAUGGGAUAUUUAUCUUUCCACAUUCACAUAGCUCUGGUGUGAGGCAGGGACAGCUGGCUCUAUUGGAGCCUAAGGCUCUGUCUCAGGACCCUGUCUCUGGGGCCAGGGAGAUGGACCUGUUGGUGAAGCGCUUGCCAAGCAAGUAUGAGGGCUUGAGUUCAUAUCUCCUGGACCUAUGUGAGAAUCCAGGCAAGGUGGAUACAGGGAGAGGAGAGACAGGAUGGUUCCUGGGGCUUGUGAGUCAGCUAGUCUUGCUGACUCGGUGAGAUCCAGUUUCAGUGAGGGACUCUGUCUUAAGAAAAUGAGGUGGGGUCGGGGGCUAAACCUUGGCAGUUUCCAAGAGGGAGGUGAGGCAGGUCUGCCUCCCAGGGAGGGAGUAGGGGACCAGCCUGGCAGAACCUGAACAGGACCUGGUACCCUGGGCACAGCAACCAGACAUGGACACUCCACUGGGAGUCUAGACCUCUCUAGAGAAACUGCUCAUGGCAGUUCUCGGGCCACAGGAGACCCUGGGGGCUAACACCAGACCUUCUUGAAGGUGACCUGAGCAGCGUGUCUAUCACCCCAGGACUCAGCCUUUGCCCACUGUAACUGCUCUAGCCUGUCACUUACAUACCUCCCUACAGGACUGCAUUUGAUUCAUUCCUGAACGCUCUCUCUCCGGCUCAGUGCCUUCCUUCACGGUUACUAUUCAUCCCUUCCUAAGUUCUGGCAGUAAUCCUGUGUUUGCUGGUCUUUCCCUGGCGUGUCUGUGCUCUGAAGAUACAGAAGGCCUUCUCAACCUUUCCAGAAUGUCUGGGUCAUAUAAGAAAUGUCCCAACAAUUUUCUGCAGAACAGGCCUGUCAGAAGAGCUGUCCCUCCCUGGAGCAUGUGCUGAGGGAGAGGGCAAGGCGGUGCUCGAGAAGGUGUGAGCGGUCACAGCAUCCCAGCUGACUAGGUCUUUGCUCUGUUUGUCACCAUGAGUUGCUACCCCUCUUCUCAUGCCUGUGCACAUUUGCACGUGUGUGUGUGUGUGGCCAUGGUUGCUCUCAGGAGCCUUCCUCCAUCACCCUUCUACCUUCGUCUUUGAGGCAGGGUCUCUCGUCCAAACCCAGAACCCGCUGAUACAACGUCUCCCUUGCUAGUCAGCUCAAGGAUCCUGUCUCUGCCUUCAGAGGUGGGAUUGCAGGCAGGCCAGCAUCCACAAUGGACUUUCACACGGGUUCUGGGGAUCCGAACUCUAGUCCAAUUGAUUGGCAGCAAGCACCUCCACCAUUCAGCCACCUCCCCAGCCCUCCUCGUGCAGUUUAAAAACUCUCAUUGAGACAGAACAGCUCGCACAGCGUAAACAUAAGCGGAAAGAAUGCUCACGUGACUGCAAAGCCUUCAAAGUGAUGUGAUUAGGCUCACCUGCCUGCCCUUCUGAUCUGCACUGAACACACAGCACACGAUGCUUUUCUGUUCGUUUGUUUUUGAGACUGGGUUUUCUCUCUGUAGUCCUGGCUGUCCCGGAGUUGAUUUGUAGACCAGGCUAGCCUCAAACUCACAGAGAUCCGUCCACAUCCACCACCACGCCUGAUGCAUGAUGUUUUUUUUUCACAAUGCAAUCUUUUGCUCAGUGCUGUCUUUGUGAGGCCUGUUCUGUUUCUGUGAGUAGGUGUGGGCCAUUCACUUGCUGUUUUUAUACACUCUUCUGUGUGAAUGGGAAACUAUUUUCUCAUUCUACUUUACUAGAGGUGUGGGAAAAAUCCUCUCUCAUCUUGGGAUGUGUGUAUCACAUGUGUUUAUAUGUGUUGUACUUGUGUGUGCAGAUAUGAGUACAUGCUACAGCAAGCGGCAUGUAGGUCAGAGGAGGACUGCAAGUUGCUUCUCUUUGACUACAGCAAGGACAUGGGUUUACUCGCAUGGUUUUAUAAAUGAUAUUUCAUUCUACUUUCAUGUUUAGAGGUAAUUCCUGUCUGUGGCCUAAGAAGGUGAAGGGAUGUGUCAUUUACCCAGCACUAUUCACUGAACAGAGUCUGUUUUCUCACUCCAUGACUGUCUUUAUUGCCCAUGUUAUAAGCAGAGACCCGGUACCUGUGGCUGAUCUGGUUUGAGUCUAGAAUGUUCCCCGUGGCUCCCACGUUUGAACACAUGGUCUACAGCUAUAUUGUGUCUUGGGAGAUGGUGCGGACUUUGGGACAUGGGGUCUUGCAGGUUGAAAUAGGUCACUGAGACCUUUCAGGAUGGGGCCUGCAUUUCUGGUUUCCUGAGCUGUGCUGUGUGAAGAAGCUGUUGUGACGUGGUUCUGACACUAUGGGGAAGCCAUGCCACCCACCAUGCCUUCUCCACCAUGCUGGGCUGCCUGCUCUGAACCCUCAAGUCCGCAUAAGCUACCCCACCCUUAAACAGCUUCUGCAGGCCAUCUGACCAAAGAAAUGCAAAAGUCACGCAAAGGCCUGUGUUUGUCAUUGCUCUGGACAUUACCUCACAAGCCAGUUUAUUUCUUUGUGCAAAUAUCACACAGUUUCAGUCUCUACCAUUUACCAAUAGGUCUGGAGGCAUGUAGCACAAGGCUGCCAGUUUAGUCUCAGGAUUGCCUGGCGACUUUUAGCUCCUAGUGUUUCCAUACAUACUCUGCAGUCAGAAUGUAUAGAGUUUGCCGCCUCCCAGGAACUGGGAUUUUGUUCAACAUCGUGCCUCAGUCCUUAGGUCCGUUUGGAAACGGCUGACGUUUCAAUAGCCCCAAAUCAUCCUGUCCAUAAACAUGGUAUACCUCCCCACUGAUGUAGACGGAAGGCUGGGCCUCCGAAUCCUAUCCGGGGUAGCUGCACCUCCCAGCAAGCCGCUGCUCAGCUGCUCUGGAUGCCAUGACAGAAAGCUAAGCACAGACUCCACAGCUACAGUGUUCUCAGAGACCAGCACAACCCCCCCUGCUAAGAGAUAAAAAACGUUUAACUCUUUCUCCCAGCGGCAGCCUUCCUUGUUACAGCAGUCUGUGGGCACCUUGGCAUCCUUAACACUAGGUGGCGCUUUGCAACCAGUUUUGUGCCAACUUCUAGGAUUAGGGUGGGGGAGGAGGGCUUUGGAGAGGAAGAAUGAGAGAGAGAGGGAGAGAGGGAGGGAGGGAGGGGAAGGCAGGGGAGGGGAGGAGGAGGAGGAGGGAGAGAGCAAUAGCUGUCAAUUGCUUAGUAAGUCACUCCCGAUAAACCUUUCUAACCCAUCAUGAAGGACGUGAAUGUGCCAUUCUUUGGGUCAUUGUAGUUCCAGUCUGGUGGCAGAUUUUAACUGUAUAGCUUUACCCACAAAGCCACACCAUAGUUGACUUUACAAAAAGUUCUAAGGUUUUUUUUGUUUGUUUUGUUUUUAUUUAAACUUGCAAUGGUCGUCUUUAUUUUGUUCCUUCUAUUUUGAAAGUGAAAAGAAAUAGUAUUGAGUCAAUUCCCUUUUUAUGUUUUUAAAUAUUUGUUCUAUGCAUUUACAAGCCUUAACGUUGCUCUAACGAUUUCAAUGGUAUUAAGGGUAUUUUCCAGGCUAGCACUUUUUUUUUUUUGGAACAGUUCUUGGAAUUUUCUGGUCCACAGUCCUUCCUUCUGUUCCAAGGUUAUGUAAGCUUUGAUUACUAGUGUGAUUUUUAAAUUUUCUGAAGCGAGCUGAGAGGCAGGCAGAAAGAUCUGACGUUAGGGAGUGCGGUGAGAAAGGGGAGGGGGAGGUCUUAGGUUUUUUAACUGUAGCUUCAGCAUAGACACGUUGGACAACUUUCUUUCCAUUUUUAUCUCGCUUGGCUUUCUGUGACCACUGAGUAUUUUAAACAUUCCAUUUCCCACACCUUUAAUCAGGAGGCAGAGGCAGGGGGAUUUCUGGCCAGCCAGUGAGUUCCAGGCCAGCCAGGGUUAUAUAGUAAUACCCUGUCUCAAGAAAUAAAAAUUCUGGGCUGGAGAGAUGGCUCAGCGGUUAAGAGCACCCGACUGCUCUUCCAGAGGUCAUGAGUUCAAUUCCCAGCAACCACAUGGUGGCUCACAACCAUCUGUAAAGAGAUCUGAUGCCCUCUUCUGGUGUAUCUGAAGACAGCUACAGUGUACUUAUAUAUAAUAAAUAAAUAAAUCUUUAAAAAAAAAAGAAAUAAAAAUUCUACCUCCCAACACUUUCCUGUACUCUGAUAACUUUGUUAAAUUCACUAACAGUCUCAGUGAAUAAAAGAGUUUUAUUUCUUUUAAUUUCCAAGCCUGAUAAUCUGCCCCUGCCCCGAGUUGCUCUGAAGAUGACGGGUCUCAGGGACAUGCUCUUAAAAUUUCACUGUUGAGAAAGAAAGAUGUUGGCUGAAGCAGGAGCCAUGCCUGGGAGUUCAAAUCAGAUUAAGGACAUUUCCUAGUUUGAUACACACACACACACACACACACACACACACAUUACCUGGGUGCUAGCAAUCAGUUUUAUCAUUCCUGUUGGGCUCAUCAAUAUUUUUAGGAUUUUAAGCUUUAUACUUGUGAGAUUGGCUUGUGAUUUUAAUUUUUUUGCAAGAUUUCGCCACGUUUUAGAUAAAACAGGAUCUCAUAAAAAACAGUUGCUAAGCAUCCCUUCCUUCUCCUUUCUGAAAGAAUUUCUGUGAGAUCGGUAUUCUUCCGUCUCUAAUGUUUGGAAACAGGAAGCAGCCAUCUGUGCCUGUAGCUUGCUUAGUUGGAAGGAUUUCAACAAAGAUUUUCUUUCAUAAAUAUUGGGGUAUUUAAGAUUAUUUGAUUUCUUCUUAGGUCAUUUAAAUGUUUAAAGGACUUAUUUGUCCGUUUCUUUGUGUGUGUAUAAGAGCGCAAGCCUCGCUCUCUGGCUACCAUGCCCUCUCAUCAUGACGGAUCAUAUCUCUUGAGCCCAAGCAAACCCUUCCUCCCUCAGUUGCUCAUGUAAGGUAUUUCGUCAUAGAAAGGAGAAACAUAAACAAGGCUAUUUUUAUCUUGCUUGCGUGGAAGGGAAUGCAGAGGCUUGCGAAUGCUGAGCCGGGCUUCGAUGUUGAGAUUGUGUGUUUCGUUCCCAGACUGCUUGGAACAUUUCUCCAUGACCAGUCUUCAUCGGUUUGAAUGUGUCCCGGGAUGUGUUUCCUUCAAGUUCAUUCUGUGGUUGGAUGAACUUCAUGUCUUCCAUUCCUUUGGGGAAGUGCCUGGUCAUAUCUUCAACAGUUGUCCUGCGUGACAGACAUCACAUCCGGUCCCCCGACUCCAGUUGUGCGCACACCCUAUUUGGAUCGGAAGUGUCCGCAAAGGUGUUUGAACACCUGGUCCCCAGCUGGUGGCGCUGUUUUGAGAGGUUGUUGAACCUUUCGAAGGCGGAGUCUAGCUAGAGGAAGUGAGUCUUAGGGGUGGGGCGGGUCCUAGCGGUUCCAGCCCGUUUCCACUGGUUGCCUUCUGGUGUGGACAGGCAGGCAGCUGUUUACUUGUAAUGGCAAACCCCCAACCGUAAAAUUGUUGAUGUUGCUACUUUGUAACUAAUUUUAUGGAUCUUAAUGCACCUGUGUUUUCCAACGGGAAUCCAACACCUUCUUCUGGCCUCUGUGGGCAUCUGCACAUAUUUGCAUGUCCACAUUCAAUCCUGUGUGUGUACACUUAAAUGGAAAAAAUGUAAAUAUGCAGAAAAGAAAGCCCAUAAUGGAAAAGCCUCUUAAGUUUGCAGUGUGUCUCUGAUGGUUUGUAUAGGCUUGGCCCAGGGAGUGGACUAUUAGAAGGUGUGGCCUUGUUGGAGUGGGUGUGGUCUUGUUGGAGUAGGUGUGGCCUUGUUGGAGUGGGUGUGUCACCAUGGGUGUGGGCUUUAAGACCCUCAUCCUAGCUGCCUGGAAGCCAGUCUUCUGCUAGCAGCCUUCAGAUGCAGAUGCUCUCCCUGCACCAUGCCUGCCUGGAUGCUGCAAUGCUCUCGCCUUGAUGAUGAUGAUGGACUGAACCUCUGAACCUAUAAAUCAGCUCCAAUUAAAUGUCCUUAGAAGAGUUGCCUUGGUCAUGGUGUCUGUUCACAGCAGUAAAACUCUAAGACAGUACCCCUCCUCACUGUGGCUCAGCCUGACUCUCACAAUGUUUCUAUUUUUCCCCCUCUCUCCUGGAGGAGGGGGAUGGGGAGAGGGGGUAUGGAUAGGAGUAGGGGUAGGUGAACAGGUAGGGCUAUCACUGACUCUAUCCGAGAAUCAGAUCCUCAAGUCCUUUCACUCUCUUAGGACCAGCCCCUGCCCCCUGCUGUGUCUGUACCUCUGGUGAUUUUACAUUAAAGGUUGAGGGUACUGCUGGAACUUUCUAGUGUGGCAGUUCUGUCCAACCUGGCACUUCUCAUGGCCCGACUUUACCGCUGCGUCUGGGCACAUAUUCCGGGAUGACUCUCAGUCUGCAGAAAAUCCACUUUGGAGAUUUAGCUCUCCGGGCGUUAAAUGACAAAAAUCCUCAGCCUUUCGUCCCCUCAAAUAGCCGACUUUGUAGCAAAUUAAUAAACACAAGCCCUCACUUUGGAUCAAGCUGAGACACCUGUCGGUGCGCCAGAUAAAUUGGUUUCCCCCAGAUAAACCUAAUUCCCAGAGAUAAGUCUCCAGCAAGCAUCAGGGCAGCCUUGGCUCACAACUCCCCCUGAUGGACAAGACCUUUGCUGGGUGUGUCCUCUCUCUCUCUCUCUCUCUCUCUCUCUCUCUCUCUCUCUCUCACUGGGGCUCUGUUCAGUAUGGUCAUUCCUCACAACGGUUCUCUGUGGUAAUUAAUCCCCACCUGUUUUCUGCUCACACCUCUGGGGGACAUUUCCAUCCUCUGGAGACAUCUGUGACAGCAGAGUUUGAAUUUCCUCAUCUGAUGAGCGUGUUAAGAGAGCGAGGAAAGAUCACCCAGGCUGGCUUUUCUCUGGCGUAGGAGCAACGGCCUUGGCUCUGCUCUUUCUUUACAUGAGCCCUGCCCCGUGCAGGUACAAGUAAUACUGAGAAGCUUUGUGGCUUCAUUGGGGGUGGGGAAGGCUUGGUGUCUUCUCUUUCCUCACAGCGACGUUCUAAGCAGGAAUAAACCUCCUUGGUUUACAUGGAAACUGAGUCACAGAGUUCAACAGGCCCCACAGGUGCCCUCUGUGCACCACACUUUGAGGAAACCAUAGAGAACAUUCACUCCCCCUCUACAAGCUUUAUGGGAUGCCCCCAGAAACCAGGCAACUAGUGAGAGCCACAGUAAAACUCAGCCUCAUGGGAAAUGCCAACAACAUGAAGGAUGGAAAAAGCCAAUGGUAAGAAACUGAUGUCCCAGAGGAAUCUUUCUAUCUUUUAAGUGCAGCACUGUGCUAGGCAUGGGCCGUACUUCUGGGCUACAAUUUCAUACUGAAAAAAUGUUAGACUGAAUAUUAAACUUUUAAAAAUUGCACUUGUGUGUGUGUGUGUGUGUGUGUGUGUGCAUGCCCAUAUAUGUGCUUUCCUGUAUGUGGUGUGUAUGUCUAUGUGUGUGUUUGUACAUGCAUGUGUGUGUGUUUGAUUAUGCAUGUGUGUAUGUGUGUGUCAGGAAGUCAGUGUGGAAGUCAGACAACUUGCAGAAGUUGUUUUCUUCUUCUAUUAUGUAGCCUGGCUUUGAACUCAGGUCCCCAGGCUUGGCAGCAAGCACCUUUACCCACCAAGUAAUCUUGAGUCUCUGGAUAGUUAAAAAAAAAUCCAGAAGUGAAAACAUCUUUAAAAUUAGUGUACGGGAUCAGGAGAGGCGGUUCAGUGGUUAAGAGCACUUGCUACUCUUGUAAAGGUCCUGCGUUCAGUUUCUAGCACCCACAUGGUGGCUUUCAACCAGGGGAUCCCACACCUUCUUCUGACCUCUGCAGGAACUAGGCAUGCAUGCGGUGCACAGAGGUACGAAUAGGCAGAACACUCAGACACAUAAAUGAAUCUAAAACAAAAUUAAAACCAGUGUGUGUUAAUUGCACAGAAUAAUGGGUUUCGUUGAUGUUCAGAUGUUUGCAUUCAGUUCAGAGCCUGACACUGUGGCAUCGUGGAACUGGUCAUCACUGCCACCCUUGUUUAUGUAGCUUGUGACACAGGCUUUGAUGACUGGUCCUUCCUUUACUGCCAGCAUUUCAUGAGACGUCAUGCAGUAUUUAUCUUCAAACCAGAUGGGACUAGUUUUUUGAAAUAAGCUUCUUGUCUGUUGAAAGGAGUUGUUCCUGAUCUCUAGGCUGGGAACCCUAUGCUGCUUUUCUCCGUUUUAAGAUUUAUAGCCUUUGCCCAGUUUGUCUAGAUUAGUACCCCGACUUCCCUCAUGUUCACAUUCUGUACUUGAAUAUAUAAUGAAUGCUGUAGUUUGGUGGUUAGUUUGGACUGUCAACUUGACAUAACCUACAACAGCCUCUUAACUGGGGGACUGUCUAGACUGAUCAGGUUGGUCUGUGGGCACAUUUGUGAGGGAUUGACUGUCUUGAUUGUUCAAUGAGUAGAGAGACUCAGCCCACUAUGGGUGGCACCAUUCUCUAGGCAGGGUGCUAAGACGUAUUAGAGUGGAGAAAGCUAGUCAGCAAGCAAGUGGGCAUGCAUGCAUUUAUUUCUUUCUGCUCUUGACAGUUGAUAUGAUGUGACUAGCUGCUUCUAAUGCUUGCCACUGUGGCAUUUCUGCUAUGAUGGACUAACCUGGGAAUUAUAAGCUGAAUAAACACUCAUCUGACCAACCUUAUAUCAUAGCAUUGAGAAUUGUCUUUCUACAUCAGUUUGUUUUGGAAACUGACUGAAUCAAGCCUAAGUUUAGCAUCCUGAAGCUUGCCAUGUGACCUUAUGCACAGUCCUGGGUCCCUGCUCUGAGCCAGACACUGUGAUGGCUUUGUAGUCUACCAUGCAGGGCCUGGGUUCCACCUGUUAACAUUCUGGUGCCUGCUCAGUUCUCGUCUCUGAUCCUUGUACACUUGUAGCCUGACUCAUGACCUAACUCCCAGACUCAUUGUCUUCAGGGUUCCUAGAAUGUUCUAGUCUACACCAGCCCACACAUCUUUAAGUUUCGAUAUUACCUCUCAUGAUACCGUUUUAUCUCAGGAUGGAGGAGGGGCUUUUCUGGGCUCACUCUGGUCAGAACAGUUAUGGCCCUUAAUAGGUCAGCCAGUUUACCUGACUAACUCAUGAACUCUCCAGACACAAGGACCUCUCCCUCAGUGUCUACUCUGGUUCUUAGUGUCUUGGUGGAUGACUGUCUAUGAGCUGUCUGGUGUCUUGAGAUUGUCCACAAGCUGGUUCAGCACAGCAAUUCCACCUCAAGAACCCAGGGUCUUUUGGCCACUUGAAAAACUUUGUCUUUGUUUAAUUUAAUUAUUUAUCAUUAUUGUACAUGUUUAUGGAUGGAGGCAUAUGCAUAUCAUGACCCAUGUGUGGAGGUCAGAGGACAACUUCAAGAAGCUUGUUUUCUUCUAUCAGAUGAGCCCUGGGUUUUCAGGUUUGGUGACAAGUACCUUUGUCUACGGAGCCCUCUCCCUGCCCAUCACUUUCGAUGCUUUGAAGCUAUGACCUUCCCAGAACCAUCAAACUGAGGUCUUCACAGCCACCUGCAGCAGAGGCAGCUUGGCCUCUCCUUUUCCAACUCCCUGCUUCUCUUCCACACAGCUCUGACAUUGUAGGUGAAACUCAAGGGCUGACUUCACGAUGUCUGUUGUGUGCCACUGAUGGUUCAUUUCUACCGAGUGUGUCCUCAUGAGGCUGGGUUGAAUGUUCUUAGUUCACACCUUGCUGCUGAGUAUGAUGGGCAUAUAUAAAAAGCCCAUGAAGUCUUGACCUAAGACUCAACACCCAGUCUUUAACUCAGAACAGCUUGCUUUACAGAAAUCAGGAAGAGAUACUUUGUGUGUAUUUGAUUGAACAGACAUUUCAGUUUAGGAUCAACCCUGAUCCCUGCCCCUGAAAUAGAUCUUGAUCUAGGUAGGGGCACUGAUCCAACCUGAACUGGUUUCAGGUGUGUUCACAGUCAGGCAAAUUGUAUCCUCUGAGUGAACUGUUAGGGGAAACCCUCUAUUUACUGCCCCCUGUGUUUGCACGACUGGCCGUGGUUAUAAUUAUGAUCAGUUGCAUCAUGGGAAAGGACACUGACUGUUAAUAAAGUCUCACAUAAUCUAAGCCUGUCAUUUAAAACAAAACUACCCACACCCUACCCCUGAGGCAACCCUCUCCCUUCUGAACCCUCGAAGGGAAGGCCGAAAUAUAACCCAUUGCUCAGGAGUAACUUCUGCCCAGAGCCUGUGGCUCCCUCCCAUCUGACCUGCACCCUUUGCUUCUGAAUAAAAUCUCUUGCUGUUCUGCCAUCAGUACAUACUUCUUCAGAUCUUAGAGCAAGACACCAAGAACGUGAAACACAGCCUGACAGAGACCCCAGUGACAGUUCACAGCAGACCCUGCCACUUCUGUCCUCGAGAUCUCUGUGACAUUUCUAGAACCUGAUCCCUUCUCAUCUGCUUCAGUGACUGGUGCAAGCCACCGUAUGUCUCCUAAAGACCCUCCCUGUGUCUGCCACUGCCACCCAGUCUGAUCCCCAAAGAGCAGAGAGUGCCUGAGGCGCCGUACACUCUGCUUGCACGUGUGUUCAGGAGCUCUAGGGACACGGAGAUAGGAGGAUCCUGGGACUCAAAAGCCGGCCAACCUAGCCUAGUCUGUGAGACCCUGGACAGAGGGACACAAUGUCUCAAAGAAGAUGGAUGGUAUCUGAGGAACAGUGCCCAAGGUCUCAUCUCUCUUGUGACCAGCAUCGGGGGGCCUCGAGGAGAUGACACACUGCAAAGUUCCAUUUGUGAGGAGCACCAGGACUCUGCCAGGAGGCUGGGCAGACAGCGGGUUCAGUGAAUUCGACUCAGGUCGUCAGAUUUGGUGACAAGUGUCUUUACCUGCCAAGCCCUCUCACUGGCCCUGGUGUGUGACCCUGGGGUGUGGCUCUGGUGUGUGGCCUUGGUGUGUGGCCCUGGUGUGUCGUCUUUCAGCAAGUGGACUGUAGCUCAGUAAAGUUGCUAUGUGCAAGCAAAUUCCUUCACGGGGCUUCCCACAGUCAUUAAAGCCAAAAAUACUAAGCCAAACCAAACCCCUUCCCAUGACAGUCUCCAGAAGACUCCAUUACUGAAUAAUAAAGAUAUUUUGAUUUUU